UAGGGAAUAUUGCACAAUGGGCGAAAGCCUGAUGCAGCAACGCCGCGUGCACGAUGAAGGCCUUCGGGUCGUAAAGUGCUUUUCGGGGAGAUGAGAAAGGACAGUAUCCCCGGAAUAAGGAUCGGCUAACUACGUGCCAGCAGCCGCGGUAAAACGUAGGAUCCGAGCGUUAUCCGAAUUUACUGGGCGUAAAGCGCGUGUAGGCGGUUCGGUAAGUUGGAUGUGAAAUCUCCUGGCUCAACUGGGAGAGGUCGUUCAAUACUGUCGGACUAGAGGGUGGUAGAGGGAGGUGGAAUUCCCGGUGUAGUGGUGAAAUGCGUAGAUAUCGGGAGGAACACCAGUGGCGAAAGCGGCCUCCUAGACCGCUCCUGACGCUCAGACGCGAAAGCUAGGGGGAGCAAACGGGAUUAGAAACCCCGGUAGUCCUAGCUGUAAACGAUGUGAACUUGGCGUUGGUGGGUAAAAGCCAUCAGUGCCGAAGCUAACGCGAUAAGUUCACGCCUGGGGACUACGGCCGACG
rnacentral:rRNA from 1 species